rnacentral:rRNA from 1 species
AUUGAACGCUGGCGGAAUGCUUUACACAUGCAAGUCGAACGGCAGCACGGACUUCGGUCUGGUGGCGAGUGGCGAACGGGUGAGUAAUGUAUCGGAACGUGCCCAGUCGUGGGGGAUAACGUAGGGAAAAUUACGCUAAUACCGCAUACGAUCUAUGGAUGAAAGCGGGGGAUCGCGAGACCUCGCGCGAUUGGAGCGGCCGAUAUCAGAUUAGGUAGUUGGUGGGGUAAAGGCCCACCAAGCCAACGAUCCGUAGCUGGUCUGAGAGGACGACCAGCCACACUGUAACUGAGACACGGUCCAGACUCCUACGGGAGGCAGCAGUGGGGAAUUUUGGGCAAUGGGCGAAAGCCUGGUCCAGCCAUUCCGCGUGCAGGAUGAAGGCCCUCGGGUUGUAAACUGCUUUUGUACAGAACGAAAAGGUUUCUACUAAUACUAGGAGCUCAUGACGGUACUGUAAGAAUAAGCACCGGCUAACUACGUGCCAGCCGCCGCAGUAA